rnacentral:tRNA from 1 species
GUAGAUAUAGCUCAGUGAUAGAGCGCUUGUCUAUCAUGUGUGAGGUUCUGGGUUCAACUUCCAGCAUAUAUA